rnacentral:rRNA from 1 species
UACAGCUCAAAUUUGAAAUCUGGCUCCUCUGGAGUCCGAGUUGUAAUUUGUAGAAGAUGCUUUGGGUUGUGGGUUCGGCCUAAGUUCCUUGGAACAGGACGUCAUAGAGGGUGAGAAUCCCGUAUGUGGCCGAGGCCCGCGCCUAUGUAAAGCUCUUUCAACGAGUCGAGUUGUUUGGGAAUGCAGCUCAAAAUGGGUGGUAAAUUUCAUCUAAAGCUAAAUAUGGGCCAGAGACCGAUAGCGCACAAGUAGAGUGAUCGAAAGAUGAAAAGCACUUUGGAAAGAGAGUUAAACAGUACGUGAAAUUGUUGAAAGGGAAGCGCUUGCACCCAGACUUGGGCGCUGCUGAUCACCUUGAGGUCUCCUCGAGUGCACUCGACAGCGCACAGGCCAGCAUCGGUUCGGGUGGCUGGAUAAAGGCCGUAGGAACGUAGCUCCUUUCGGGGAGUGUUAUAGCCUACGGUGCCAUGCAGCCCAGCCGGACCGAGGACCGCGCCUUCGGGCUAGGAUGCUGGCGUAAUGGGUGUAAGCGACCCGUCUUGAAACACGGACCAAGGAGUCUAACAUCUAUGCGAGUGUUUGGGUGGUAAACCCAUACGCGGAAUGAAAGUGAACGUAGGUGAGAACCCCUUUGGGGCGCAUCAUCGACCGAUCCUGAUGUCUUCGGAUGGAUUGAU